rnacentral:rRNA from 1 species
UGGGGAAUUUUGCACAAUGGGCGGAAGCCUGAUGCAGCGACGCCGUGUGGGGGAUGAAGGCCUUCGGGUUGUAAACUCCUUUCGUCAGGGACGAAGUUUGUUUGACGGUACCUGGAUAAGAAGCACCGGCUAAUUACGUGCCAGCAGCUGCGGUAAUACGUAGGGUGUGAGCGUUGUCCGGGUUUACUGGGCGUAAAGGGCUCGUGGGUGGUGUGUCGCGUCGUCGGUGUAAUCCAGGGGCUUAACUUUUGGUUGGCAGGCGAUACGGGGAUUGCUUGAGUGCAGUAGAGGAGAGUGGAAUUCCUGGUGUAGCGGUGAAAUGCGCAGAUAUCAGGAGGAACACCGGUGGCGAAGGCAGGUCUCUGGGCAGUUACUGACGCUGAGGAGCGAGAGCAUGGGUAGCGAACAGG